AACGAACGCUGGCGGCAGGCUUAACACAUGCAAGUCGAGCGCCCCGCAAGGGGAGCGGCAGACGGGUGAGUAACGCGUGGGAAUCUACCCAUCUCUACGGAAUAACGCAUGGAAACGUGUGCUAAUACCGUAUACGUCCUUCGGGAGAAAGAUUUAUCGGAGAUGGAUGAGCCCGCGUUGGAUUAGCUAGUUGGGGCGGUAAAGGCCUAACAAGGCGACGAUCCAUAGCUGGUCUGAGAGGAUGAUCAGCCACACUGGGACUGAGACACGGCCCAGACUCCUACGGGAGGCAGCAGUGGGGAAUAUUGGACAAUGGGCGCAAGCCUGAUCCAGCCAUGCCGCGUGAGUGAUGAAGGCCCUAGGGUUGUAAAGCUCUUUCACCGGUGAAGAUAAUGACGGUAACCGGAGAAGAAGCCCCGGCUAACUUCGUGCCAGCAGCCGCGGUAACAC
rnacentral:rRNA from 1 species